GGAUUAGAUACCCUGGUAGUCCUAGCUGUAAACGAUGGAUACUAGAUGUUGCAUAUUUUAAUAUACGCAGUGUCGUAGCUAACGCGUUAAGUAUCCCGCCUGGGAAGUACGCUCGCAAGGGUGAAACUCAAAGGAAUUGACGGGGGCCCGCACAAGCGGUGGAGCAUGCGGCUUAAUUCGAUGAUACCCGUAGAACCUUACCUGGACUUGACAUAUAGGGUCUAGCUAUAGAGAUAUAGUGUGCAUUAGCGCCCUAUACAGGUGGUGCAUGGCUGUCGUCAGCUCGUGCCG
rnacentral:rRNA from 1 species